UACGAAGGGGGCUAGCGUUGCUCGGAAUUACUGGGCGUAAAGGGCGCGUAGGCGGACAGUUUAGUCAGAGGUGAAAGCCCAGGGCUCAACCUUGGAAUUGCCUUUGAUACUGGCUGUCUUGAGUACGGGAGAGGUGAGUGGAACUCCGAGUGUAGAGGUGAAAUUCGUAGAUAUUCGGAAGAACACCAGUGGCGAAGGCGACUCACUGGCCCGUUACUGACGCUGAGGCGCGAAAGCGUGGGGAGCAAACAGG
rnacentral:ncRNA from 3 species